rnacentral:lncRNA from 1 species
GAAAAGGGGUAUUUACUAUUAGAAGAGAGAGAAGACUUGGAUCCCAGGGAUUUCUACUACCAGCCAAUUGGAUGAUUUAAGACUAUGUGGUUAUUUUUAGCAGGACUAUAUUCUUUAAUAAACUGUAUUUUUCUUUGUCUCUGCAAUGGAGUUGUUUCAAGUAUUAUGACUCUACUAGUCUACUACAACUAUUGGGCUCAAGCAAUCCUCCCACUUUGGCCUCCCAAAGUGCGAGGAUUACAGGUAUGAACCAUGAUGCCCAGCUGGCAUCUUUCUCUAUUUAAUGUUAGAAAUGUCUGCAAUGCAGAUGGUUUUAUUUUCAUAUUUAAUUAUUUAAUCUGUUUUAUUUUAAUUUUGUUACAUAGUAUGAGGUAAAUAUACUCUUUUUUGCCCAAGUAAUUAAUCAAUUGUCCCAGAAUCAUUUAAAAAUAAUCCAGAUUUUUACCCAUUGAUUUAAAACCACCAGUACUUAAGUAUGUUUCUGGUCUUUCAUUUCUGUCUCAUUUCAUUCAUCUUUAUGCCAGUUGUAUCUCUGUUAAUUAAUUAGCACUGCAAUGCAUUUUUACUAUCUUUAACAGUUUUCCCUGUUAUUAUUUGAAAAAUAAAUUAUUCUAGAUGAACUGUGAAAUCAUUAUACAGAUUAAACAUUUACAUUGUACAAAUACAUUAUUUCCCCCUUUCUUCAUUAUAUAAAAGGCAGCACAACUCUUAUUUUUACACUAUUUAGUCUCCCAGGAAUGAAGUCUGUCUAUAAAAAUAUUUCUUCAUGUCCUUCAUGAUAGUCUUGUAUGUUACAUAUGCAGGACAAAACAUAUAGGUCCUAUACAUUUCUUAUAAAGUUUAUUCUAAUAUACAUAUUUUUAGUUAAUAUUUCAAAUGACUGCUUUUUCUAACUAUAUGUAUAUGGAACUUAUUUUACUAGUAGUCAUCUGAAUAAAUUUACCAAAUCUUACUAGUUUUAAUUGUCUGUGAUUGGGUUUUCUGAAUUUUCUAGUAGAUUACUAUAGUUUUUACAUCUUUUAAAUCAGUUUUUUCUUAUUCCUGCCUUAUCAUCUAUUGACUAGAACUCCUUGAACAAUGUCAAAUAAGUAAUCAGUUUGUGUUCAUGCCUUUGUUCUAGCUCUCA